AUUGAACGCUGGCGGCAUGCCUUACACAUGCAAGUCGAACGGUAACGGGCCUUCGGGUGCCGACGAGUGGCGAACGGGUGAGUAAUACAUCGGAACGUGCCCGAUCGUGGGGGAUAACGAGGCGAAAGCUUUGCUAAUACCGCAUACGAUCUACGGAUGAAAGCAGGGGACCGCAAGGCCUUGCGCGGACGGAGCGGCCGAUGGCAGAGUAGGUAGGUGGUGGGAUAAAAGCUUACCAAGCCGACGAUCUGUAGCUGGUCUGAGAGGAUGAUCAGCCACACUGGGACUGAGACACGGCCCAGACUCCUACGGGAGGCAGCAGUGGGGAAUUUUGGACAAUGGGCGCAAGCCUGAUCCAGCCAUGCCGCGUGCAGGAUGAAGGCCUUCGGGUUGUAAACUGCUUUUGUACGGAACGAAAAGCCUUCUUUUAAUACAGGAGGGUCAUGACGGUACCGUAAGAAUAAGCACCGGCUAACUACGUG
rnacentral:rRNA from 1 species